rnacentral:rRNA from 1 species
UUGCCUCUUGGACUGGGACAACUGUUGGAAACGACAGCUAAUACCGGAUAUUAUGAGAUUCUCGCAUGAGAAAUUUAUGAAAGCUAUAUGCGCCAAGAGAGAGCCUUGCGUUCCAUUAGCUAGUUGGUGGGGUAACGGCCCACCAAGGCGACGAUGGAUAGCCGGCCUGAGAGGGUGAACGGCCACAAGGGGACUGAGACACGGCCCUUACUCCUACGGGAGGCAGCAGUGGGGAAUAUUGGACAAUGGGCCACAAGCCUGAUCCAGCAAUUCUGUGUGCACGAUGAAGGUCUUCGGAUUGUAAAGUGCUUUCAGUUGGGAAGAAGAAAGUGACGGUACCAACAGAAGAAGCGACGGCUAAAUACGUGCCAGCAGCCGCGGUAAUACGUAUGUCGCAAGCGUUAUCCGGAUUUAUUGGGCGUAAAGCGCGUCUAGGCGGAAAAAUAAGUCUGAUGUUAAAAUGCGGGGCUCAACUCCGUAUUGCGUUGGAAACUGUUUUUCUAGAGUACUGGAGAGGUGGGCGGAACUACAAGUGUAGAGGUGAAAUUCGUAGAUAUUUGUAGGAAUGCCGAUGGAGAAGUCAGCUCACUGGACAGAUACUGACGCUGAAGCGCGAA